UGGUGCCGAUGCGCUUAGGGGAGACACCCGUUCCCAUCCCGAACACGAUGGUUAAGACUUAAGCGGCCGAUGGUACUAUGCUGGAGACGGCAUGGGAGAGCAGGUGGGUGCCAGAUU
rnacentral:rRNA from 3 species